CCCAGAUGCGCUGCACGCAACUGUUAGAAAACCCCGCCAGAUCCGGAAGGAAGCAACGGUAUCUUUCGUGUUGCGGUGCCGGUGAUUAUCUGGGCUCU
rnacentral:SRP_RNA from 1 species